rnacentral:rRNA from 9 species
GUAGGAAUACCCGCUGAACUUAAGCAUAU